rnacentral:rRNA from 1 species
GAUGAACGCUAGCGGCAGGCUUAAUACAUGCAAGUCGUGGGGCAGCAUGAAGUAGCAAUACUUUGAUGGCGACCGGCAAACGGGUGCGGAACACGUACACAACCUUCCUUUUAGUGGGGAAUAGCCCAGAGAAAUUUGGAUUAAUACCCCGUAACAUAGCGAUGAGGCAUCUCAUUGCUAUUAUAGCUUCGGCGCUAGAUGAUGGGUGUGCGUAUGAUUAGAUAGUUGGCGAGGUAACGGCUCACCAAGUCUACGAUCAUUAGCUGAUGUGAGAGCAUGAUCAGCCACACGGGCACUGAGACACGGGCCCGACUCCUACGGGAGGCAGCAGUAAGGAAUAUUGGUCAAUGGACGAAAGUCUGAACCAGCCAUGCCGCGUGAAGGAUUAAGGUCCUCUGGAUUGUAAACUUCUUUUAUAUGGGACGAAAAAAGGUCUUUCUAGAUCACUUGACGGUACCAUAUGAAUAAGCACCGGCUAACUCCGUGCCAGCCGCCGCCGUAA